AAUCAUUCACUUAUAUUCAUCGGCCCUCCACGUAGUUUGCUAUUAAGAUGGUGCUGACUUCUUGUAUAAACUACUCGGGGUUACUAUAAAGUUAAAAAUCCAGGGACUUGUAUAACAGUUGCCUUUCUGAUCUAACAAGUUGAGGUUUGUUUAGAGUGUUGGGGCGGUAAUAGUUUUUGUCUUAAUUUGUUCAAGUUCGAUAAAAUAAGCAACCUUUAUACUUACUGAGUGUGUUGAAUUUUUGUUAUGGCUCAUGAAAUUUUUUGAGGGAAUAGAUAAUAGAAAUUUUUCACACUAGGGACUUAACUUAAAAUAUAUUAUAAGAAAUUUUGUUUUU
rnacentral:lncRNA from 1 species